rnacentral:tmRNA from 1 species
AGCAGUUUGAAUAUGGUGGUAUGGCCUCGUAAGAGGCCGGAGAGUGAAGUGAAUGUGUGUUGGACGCGGGUUCGAUUCCCGCCAGCUCCACCACAAGUCGUCUCCGUGACUGCCCACGCCGGGCAAGACGGUCCGCGAGCCCUAUCGCAAGUGCGCAUAGCGACGGGUUGGCUGAUGACGUGAGGGUAGGUAGCUCCUAUCCAAGCAACGAGACGCCUUUUGAUGGGGCUGCCCUGGUUUCGACAACGCAAGCUAAUGGAUCUUGACCACUCGGGAAGCGGUUCCUGAACGAUGCUUGCAUCGUUGAACAAGCAAAACCAAAGUAACUGCAAACGAUGCACACUUCAAGGUUGCGGCUCACGCCUAAUGCCUUGUGAAGUGGUCGCACCGACUGACUGGUUCGCCGGUUGGUCUGCUCGGCUGGUUUCCGGCUGACGCGUGCGAUCAUCCCGGCCGCC